rnacentral:lncRNA from 1 species
GCAUACUUCUCCAUGGUCGUAUAAGGACUUCCGGCCCACAGGAUACAGAGCAGCAAGUUCAUCUGGAUCCUUUCAGCGCUGCUCACCUCGUCAGCUCAAGUGUUGCCAUAGGAAAUAGUAUCCUGGCAACAGCACUAACCUGAGCAAAGACAAAGUAAGGUCAUGCAGACAACCAGACGUGGUACAACGACGCUGUAUGGCAAUUCAUUUUCAUAACCUUUGCUUGCAAGAAAUUUCAACACAUUUUGGUCAGCCUCACUUUCUAUCAGGUCAGCCUCUUUUCACAGCUGCUUUGGUGCAGUCAUUUAAAAAUCUACAUGUUUGGAUGUCAUGCAUAAUACUGUAAUGUGUCUUGCUCUACCUGUGCUCUAUCAAUAAUUGCAUGAAAUAGCACUUUCAUCUGAAUUUGCAUUCAUACCUCAGGGGAACAGUGUGUAGAUAUUCCUCUGGGGGGUAAAAUGAACCUUUUUGUGCAGGAUUUCAGCACAUACUGCAAAGAUAUCAGCAUGCUGUUUGCAGAUAGUCACUGUAAUAUUAUACACUCCUUUCUGAGGAAUCUCAACCUUAUGCAGCAGGGUUACAGAACAAAUGAUAAACAUGCAGGAAAAUCAAUUGCUCCUGAUUUACACCACAGGAGAGUGUGAGUUGUGUAUAUUUUGCAGCCUUGAACACUGGACGGUGCUGCAUAAGUAUUCAGACUUCCAUGUUUGGUUUAACCCUCAGUUCAGUCUAUCUAAUUCCACAGAUCUGUCUGGGACUCCUUGCUGCUAAUCGUCCACAUCAUGAGCCGCCUGGAUGUUGGCAGUGUUGCCAUGGUGACUAUCAAGGGUUGAUAAAGUGGUUCGGGUCCUUUGUGUUCUGUACAUACAAGGUCUUUUGGCCACAAGAGAAUUACAGCAGAGGCAGAAAUUAUUUACAGGGAGCCUGGCAUUAAUUAAAAGGGGAAAUGACUCAUUUAGCAAACUGAUUACAGCGAGAAGAGUACGUCCAAAAACAAUUAGUUCUUUGGAAACAGUGGAGGUGUAGACUUGGUUUCCCCCUCGUGUCAGCACAAGCUGCUCCCUCAAAGUACUCUCUGUCCAUCAGAAACUAUUCCUCUAAUAAAGUUGAGCAGAUUUUACCAACAUGUUGGUAAAGUUUCAUUUCGCCACAGUGGACAUGAGGACAUGAUCUUCAGACACACUCUGCUCUGGUUGUGUUUAACCCUAGAACACUAUCGCCGGGUGAUUUUCACCCAACCAAACAUGAUUUUCAUUAUGUUGUGUUUGUCUGAGUAUCAUGGGUAGCUUCAGCAUCGCCUUUGACAUCUUUGAAGGCAUAUUUGUUUCCCUGAUCCAAAACCUGCUUUUUCCUACAGACACGUGUUCAGGUGGAAUAAGGUCAGUAAGAGUGGUCCUGGAAUUUGCAUGCUAUCUUUAUUUAGCGCAAUGGUUAUGAAUAACUAUCACAAAGUAGUGAUUUUCAAGGGAAUUCAUGUGGUGAUAAGAAAUAUUUGACAGCUGGUCAUUUUUACUCACUCAAAAUCUGCCAUAUUUUGGUUCUCUCUCCUGCAGCUGUUAUUGUGCCAAGG